GAAAUGCGAUAAGUAAUGUGAAUUGCAGAAUUCCGUGAAUCAUCGAAUCUUCGAACGCACAUUGCGCCCUCUGGCAUUCCGGGGGGCAUGCCUGUCCGAGCGUCAUUACGCACCCUCAAGCCCGGCUUGUGUGAUGGGCCCCGGCGUCUCGUUCGCGAGACGGGCCCGAAAGGCAGCGGCGGCGUCGACCCGAUGAGCCCGAGCGUAUGGGGACUUCUGUCACACGUUCGCGGUGCGGACCGGCGCCUGCUUGACUUUUCUGAUUAUCCAGGUUGACCUCGGAUCAGGUAGGGAUACCCGCUGAACUUAAGC
rnacentral:misc_RNA from 1 species